CAAGCAGCCUGACUGCUCUGCUUGGUCUCCUUCUGUAGCAGGCUGAGAGCCAGAUCAACAAGCAGGCCAAGGUGGGCGACAUAGCCCGUAAGACUGAUCGACCAGCCCUCCAUCUCCGCAUUCCCCCCCAGCCAGGGGCACUGGGCAGUCCGCCCCCUGCUGCGGCCCCCACCAUUUACAUUGGCAGCCCCACCACCCCUGCCGGCUUGUCUACCUCUGCGGACGGGUUCCUGAAGCCGCCAGCGGGCACAGUGCCCGGCCCCGACUCACCUGGUGAGCUCUUCCUCAAGCUCCCAUCCCAGGUGCCCGCCCAAGUGCCUUCGCAGGACCCCUUUGGACUGGCCCCUGCCUAUGCCCUGGAGCCCCGCUUCUCUGCGGCACCACCCACCUACCCUCCUUACCCAAGCCCAGCUGGGGCCCCUGCCCAGCCCCCAAUGCUGGGCACCACAUCUCGUCCUGUGACUGGUCAGCCAGGGGAACUCCACACUACCCCACCGGGUACCCCCAGACACCAGCCCUCCACGCCUGACCCCUUCCUCAAACCCCGAUGCCCCUCACUGGACAACCUGGCUGUGCCUGAGAGCCCGGGGGUAGCAGGAGGCAAGGCUUCCGAGCCUCUGCUCUCACCCUCACCUUUUGGGGAGUCUCGGAAAGCCCUAGAGGUGAAGAAGGAAGAACUUGGGGCAUCCUCUCCUGGAUAUGGACCCCCAAACCUGGGCUUUGUUGACUCACCCUCCUCAGGCCCCCAUCCGGGUAGCCUAGAGUUAAAGGCACCUGAUGUCUUCAAAGCUCCCCUAACCCCUCGGGCAUCUCAGGUAGAGCCCCAGAGCCCUGGCCUGGGCCUACGGGCCCAGGAUCCACCCCCUGCCCAGGCUUUGGCCCCUUCUCCUCCCAGCCACCCAGACGUCUUUCGUCCUGGCUCCUACCCUGAUCCUUAUGCCCAACCCCCAUUGACCCCUCGGCCUCAACCACCACCCCCUGAGAGCUGCUGUGCCCUGCCCCCUCGCUCACUGUCCUCUGACCCUUUCUCUCGAGUACCCGCUAGUCCUCAGUCUCAGUCCAGUUCCCAGUCCCCGUUGACCCCUCGUCCUCUGUCUGCUGAGGCUUUCUGCCCGUCCCCGGUUACCCCUCGCUUCCAGUCCCCUGACCCUUAUUCUCGUCCACCCUCACGUCCUCAGUCCCGUGACCCAUUUGCCCCAUUGCAUAAGCCACCCCGACCCCAGCCCCCUGAAGUUGCCUUUAAGGCUGGGCCUCUAGCCCACACUCCGCUGGGAGCUGGGGGCUUCCCAGCAGCCCUGCCCUCUGGGCCAGCAGGUGAGCUCCAUGCUAAGGUCCCAGGUGGGCAGACCCCUAAUUUUGCCCGGUCCCCAGGGACAGGUGCAUUUGUAGGCACCCCCUCUCCCAUGCGGUUCACUUUCCCACAGGGGGUAGGAGAGCCUUCCCUAAAGCCCCCUGUCCCACAGCCUGGUCUCCCUCCACCCCAUGGGAUCAACAGCCAUUUUGGGCCUGGCCCCAUCUUGGGCAAGCCUCAAAGCACAAACUACGUAGCCACGGGGAACUUUCACCCAUCGGGCAGCCCCCUGGGGCCCAGCAGUGGGCCUACAGGGGAGGGCUAUGGGCUGUCCCCACUACGCCCCGCAUCAGUUCUGCCACCACCCACACCCGAUGGAUCCCUCUCCUACCUGUCCCAUGGAGCCUCACAGCGGGCAGGUAUCACCUCUCCAGUGGAAAAGCGAGAAGAUCCAGGGGCUACCAUGAGUAGCUCUUUGGCAACACCUGAACUCUCAGGUACCCAGGAUCCAGGCAUGUCAAACCUUAGCCAGACAGAGCUGGAGAAGCAGCGGCAGCGCCAACGGCUGCGGGAGCUGCUGAUUAGGCAGCAGAUCCAGCGUAACACCUUACGGCAGGAGAAGGAAACAGCUGCAGCAGCUGCAGGUGCAGUCGGGCCUCCAGGCAACUGGAGUGCUGAACCCAGCAACCCUGCCUUUGAGCAGCUGAAUCGAGGCCAGACCCCUUUCACUGGUACCCAGGAUAAGAACAGUCUUGUGGGAUUAUCCUCAAGCAAGCUAGGUGGUCCAAUUCUGGGGCCAGGGGCCUUCUCCAGCGAUGACCGACUUUCCCGGCCGCUUCCACCAGCCACACCUUCCUCUAUGGACAUGAAUAGCCGGUGAGGUUCCAGGAAGUUGCGUGCUUGCAUGCAUGUGUGUGAAUGGGAUAAGUUUUACCAUCACUGUAUUCUGCCUUUGAUUUCCCCCUGUCACUAUGCGUGUGUGUGUGUGUGUGUGUGCGAGAGAGAGAGAGAGAGAGAGUGGGACAAGUUUUACCAUCACUGUAUUCUGCCUUUGAUUUCCCCCUGUCACUAUGCGUGUGUGUGUGUGUGUGUGUGCGAGAGAGAGAGAGAGAGAGAGUGGGACAAGUU
ensembl:lincRNA